CAGCCGCCACGGGAAUACGAAGGGGGCUAGCGUUGUUCGGAAUUACUGGGCGUAAAGGGCGCGUAGGCGGCGAUAAUAGUCAGAAGUGAAAGCCCCGGGCUCAACCUGGGAAUUGCUUUUGAUACUGUAUUGCUUGAGUUCGGGAGAGGUGAGUGGAAUUCCCAGUGUAGUGGUGAAAUGCGUAGAGAUGUGGAGGAACACCAGUGGCGAAGGCGACUCUCUGGUCUGUAACUGACGCUGAGGAGCGAAAGCGUGGGGAGCGAACAGGAUUAGAUACCCGAGUAGUCCCUGUCUCUUAUAC
rnacentral:rRNA from 1 species